CGCGUAGGCGGCCAUGUAAGUCAGAUGUGAAAGCCCGGGGCUCAACCCCGGAAGUGCAUUUGAUACUGCAUGGCUUGAGUAUGGGAGAGGGAAGUGGAAUUCCUGGUGUAGAGGUGAAAUUCGUAGAUAUCAGGAGGAACACCGGUGGCGAAGGCGACUUCCUGGACCAAUACUGACGCUGAGGCGCGAAGGCGUGGGUAGCAAACA
rnacentral:rRNA from 1 species